AUGUUCUGUCAUUUAGAAAAAAGGUCUGAGCAUGGAAGGCUACCAUCAUUUCUGUGUAUGCCUUCCAUGCUCAAACCUUUUCCUCACCAUAUACUAAAGUAUAUGGUGAGCUGGGGAAAUGUAACUCUCCCAACUACAAUUCCCAAUUGUGAAGCUGCAGUCCAGCAAUAUCCAAAGGACUAUGCAUUCCCCAUCCUUUUACUAAUAUAUUAUCUGGCUGAACAUCAGGCAUUGUGACAGUAGCAGUGCAACUAUUUAAUGCUGGUUUUACAACCCAUGCAACUAAGUUCCAUCUGUUCUCCUAAUUCAUUUAUUCAUAUUUAAAUUGUUCUUUUUCUCUUUUAAUCAGUACUAUGAUAGCAAUCAUUAUUGGUUCCCAUUUUCCCAUAGGAUAUUAGAAACAGACAAAAGAUGUACCUAGAGCACCCUAAAUAGUCCAUAACAGAACAGAUGCUUAGGCCAACUUCUUUUAAACCAGUAGCUUCCCCUCUUUGUCACCUCAGAUGUUGUUGGGCUUUGAUAUCCUGGAGUAUCAGUGAACUUGGACAAUAUGAGAGAUCCUGGGAGUUGUAGUACAACAAAAAUCUGAGGAUCCUUCUGUUUUAGACCCAUAUCCAGUGCUCACUCCUGCCAUCUCUGACUCUAGUUACUAAAGACAUUCUUAUACAGUUUUAAUUGACCAAUUAGACUGCAAACCUGCACCCAUUUCCCUGGAAGAUACUUCUGAGAGGACAUAUAUUGGGCUGUACUCUCUCCCCACCAUCGCAAAGAAGAAUUUCCAUUAAGUAUUCACAUGUGAAAGUACAUCUCAGGGGCUGGGAGGAUUCGAAAGAUUUACUUCCAAAAACAAACAUAUUUAGAAUGAAGUUGAAUGCAGGAAACAGUUACAAUUAAUGUCCAAAUUUUGAUCAAUAUGAACAUUCGCAUAUGCAUACUGACAACAUCAGACCAAUUUUGUGAAUGCCCCUAAACACAUUUAUUCAUUUCCCCACUUUUCAAAUACACAGCACCAGUAUUCAGAAUUAAAUUACUCUAUUCAGUAGUGCAUUGUUGAAUUUAGAAACUUUUUUAAAUGUCCGGGGCUGUCAGCAGUUAAAUGUCUACGUUUACCAAACUUGUGGCAUUUGACAAAGCCACAUCUUUCCAGUGCACUAUCACGCAAGUGUUAAUGGACCCCCAAUUUCAGAUAAACAUAUAUAUAUUGCCUAUAUUUGAGUAGCUCAGAAAAGGAGCUAAAACAAACAAGCAACACACAGGCUAGCAGAUUAGUUGCCAAAAAUAUUACAGGACCCCUUCCUUUUAUGUUUUUUGCUUCUGUUCAUUUAAAAAAUGAGAGUAUCCAGAUCUCUGAGGCUGAUGAUGCACAUAAGGCAGUCCAAGGCAAGGAAGUAUAGACAAGAUCUGCUUUUCCCUCCCUCCUUCCGUCUGAUUUUUAUCAUAUCGCCAUCAAAACCUCUACCUCCUACAGUUUCAUCACCUGGCCUUCUCACUAGGUGAACCGUGGUGGUGAGAAAUCAUGGAGAGAAUGGAGAGAGAGCAGGCUUUGUUUAAAUAAUAGCCUUUGCUUGAAAAAUGUAAGCAACCUCAUCAAGCUGCACUUUUCCUGGAUCGACCAGGAGGGGGCUAUUCACUCGCCACUACAAAUACCAAAAUAUGGUCCCAUGAUGCCCAGGGCAAAUAGAGUACCCUAGUUCUCAGCUCCUCCUGCUGUUUACUAAGCACAAAUCAUACAAAGCACAAAUCGUACCAAACUCUUUGACUAACGUAUCCUAUUUCAAAUAGGUUCACCAUUUCCUCAGCCCAUAUACUCUGCCCUGCACAGUUAUGUUAUGCCAAGGAGCAUGCAUAUGAACCCCCUCUACUACCUGCACUGCUCAAAUCUGAUCUGGGUGGAGGAACUGUUUUUUCUUCUAUAAAGGUUCAACAUGGAUUUAUUCAUAGAUUU
rnacentral:lncRNA from 1 species